GUUUGAUCCUGGCUCAGAAUGAACGCUGGCGGCGUGCUUUACACAUGCAAGUCGAGCGAGGCGUCCCGCAAGGGAUAGUCGAGCGGCGAACGGGUGAGUAAUUCCUGGAUAACCUGCCCUGAGGUGGGGGAUAAGUAGGCUCCACUCUGGCUAAUACCGCAUGAUACCGAGAGGUCAAAGGGGGCUCGCAAGGGCUCUCGCCAUAGGAGGGGUCCGCGUACGAUUAGCUAGUUGGUAGGGUAAUGGCCUACCAAGGCGACGAUCGUUAGCCGGCCUGAGAGGGUGAUCGGCCACACUGGAACAGUUCCGGGAAUAAGACUCCUACGGGAGGCAGCAGUGGGGAAUUUUGCGCAAUGGGCUAACGCCUGACGCAGCAACGCCGCGUGGAGGAUGAAGGUCCUUGGAUUGUAAA
rnacentral:rRNA from 1 species